rnacentral:rRNA from 1 species
GUGGCGGACGGGUGAGUAACACGUGGGAACGUGCCUUUAGGUUCGGAAUAACUCAGGGAAACUUGUGCUAAUACCGAAUGUGCCCUUCGGGGGAAAGAUUUAUCGCCUUUAGAGCGGCCCGCGUCUGAUUAGCUAGUUGGUGAGGUAAAGGCUCACCAAGGCGACGAUCAGUAGCUGGUCUGAGAGGAUGAUCAGCCACAUUGGGACUGAGACACGGCCCAAACUCCUACGGGAGGCAGCAGUGGGGAAUCUUGCGCAAUGGGCGAAAGCCUGACGCAGCCAUGCCGCGUGAAUGAUGAAGGUCUUAGGAUUGUAAAAUUCUUUCACCGGGGACGAUAAUGACGGUACCCGGAGAAGAAGCCCCGGCUAACUUCGUGCCAGCAGCCGCGGUAAUACGAAGGGGGCUAGCGUUGCUCGGAAUUACUGGGCGUAAAGGGAGCGUAGGCGGACAUUUAAGUCAGGGGUGAAAUCCCGGGGCUCAACCUCGGAAUUGCCUUUGAUACUGGGUGUCUUGAGUAUGAGAGAGGUGUGUGGAACUCCGAGUGUAGAGGUGAAAUUCGUAGAUAUUCGGAAGAACACCAGUGGCGAAGGCGACACACUGGCUCAUUACUGACGCUGAGGCUCGAAAGCGUGGGGAGCAAACAGGAUUAG